GCAGUUGGAUGAAAUUAAAAUGCAAUGUGGUUCACAUGUUUGGCAUGAUGAUAAUUUGAUUUUUUUAGUUAAAUAUUACUAUUAAUUUAAAAUACAAAGUUAAUAAAAUAUUUGUGUAGAAAGAUGUAGAAAAGAAAAAAAGAAAAAGAAAAAAAAGAUAUCAUCCAUCAUCAGUUCAUCCUCUCUUCUUGGUUUCUCAUAUUGAGCCAAACUUUUGUUUUCUUUCAUUUAGGUCCUUGUCUACCUUUUUUCAACCCUUUUAAGCUCAAACUUCAAAAAUUCUUCCAUAGAUUUUUAGUGAAAAUAAGAGAACAACGCCAUGGCAAGAUAAGUUUCUUGUGAAGCUAGUUGGAGUUCAUAUUUGAUGAGGAAAAAAACUUGAAGAUGGAUGUUGGAAGUGGAAGAGAGUAUGGGUAGGUGGAGAAAUUAAGGAAUGCAAUUGGGAUGCUAUAAGUUAAAAACGAGCAGAAAAUGACCUAUUUGCGACACAGUCAAUAAAGUAAGGCCGGAUGUAACACCCCCACGCCCGAAACCAUCACCGGAGUCAAGCUUGAGUAAUUCGGAAGCUCGUUGGAUUGGAAGAUUGGCGGAGAUCACUUACACUAUCCAUCAGCCUGUUUCAGUAUAUAUAUGGUAAAUCAAUUAUGGUUAUAAUGGCAUGUAUUGGUUAAUUGACCAAUAUCUGUAUAUAAAUGCUUUAAUUGUAACUAGCCAUUGGAAUGGCUUGUGAUGGAUAUGUUUGGUAUGUGCUUGAAAUGGUUGAUUGGUAAAAAUUCUAUUGGAAUAUUGAUGAUUGAAUUAA